rnacentral:rRNA from 1 species
AGUUCGAUCAUGGCUCAGAUUGAACGCUGGCGGGAUGCUUUACACAUGCAGGUCGAACGGCAGCACGGACUUCGGUCUGGUGGCGAGUGGCGAACAGGUGAGUAAUGUAUCGGAACGUGCCUAGUAGCGGGGAUAACUACGCGAAAGCGUAGCUAAUACCGCAUACGCCCUUCGGGGAAAGCGGGGGACCUUCGGGCCUCGCACUAUUAGAGCGGCCGAUAUCGGAUUAGCUAGUUGGUGGGGGUAACGGCUCGCAAGGCGACGAUCCGUAGCUGGUUUGAGAGGACGACCGGCCACACUGGGACUACGGCCCAGACUCCUACGGGAGGCAGCAGUGGGGGGAAUUUUGGACAAUGGGAAACCCUGAUCCAGCCAUCCCGCGUGUGCGAUGAAGGCCUUCGGGUUGUAAAGCACUUUUGGCAGGAAAGAAACGGCACGGGAUAAUACCCCGUGAACUGACGGUACCUGCAGAAUCGCUUUCAAGCCCCGCUACGUGCCAGCAGCACUUGACAUACGUAAGUGCAAGCGUUAAUCGGAAUUACUGGGCGUAAAGCGUGCGCAGGCGGUUCGGAAAGAAGAUGUGAAAUCCCAGAGCUUAACUUUGGAACUGCAUUUUUAACUACCGAGCUAGAGUGUGUCAGGGAGGUGGAAUUCCGCGUGUAGCAGUGGAAAUGCGUAGAUGGCGGAGGAACACCGAUGGCGAAGGCAGCCUCCUGGGAUAACACUGACGCUCAUGCACGAAAGCGUGUAAGGGAGCAAACAGGAUUAGAUACCCUGGUAGUCCACGCCCUAAACGAUGUCAACUAGCUGUUGGGGCCUUCGGGCCUUGGUAGCGCAGCUAACAUGGUAAAAGUUGACCGCCUGGGGAAGUACGGUCGCAAGAUUAAAACUCAAAGGAAUUGACGGGGACCCGCACAAGCGGUGGAUGAUGUGGAUUAAUUCGAUGCAACGCGAAAAACCUUACCUACCCUUGACAUGUCUGGAAUCCCGAAGAGAUUUGGGGAGUGCUCGCAAGAGAACCGGAACACAGGUGCUGCAUGGCUGUCGUCCGGCUCGUGUCAGCCGGGAUGUGGGUUAGUCCCGCAACAGGCGCAGCCCCUUGUCAUUAGUUGCUACGAAAGAGGGCACUCUAAUGAGACUGCCGGUGACAAACCGGAGGAAGGUGGGGAUGACGUCAAGUCCUCAUGGCCCUUAUGGGUAGGGCUUCACACGUCAUACAAUGGUCGGGACAGGGUCGCCAACCCGCGAGGAGCCAAUCCCAGAAACCCGAUCGUAGUCGGAUCGCAGUCUGCAACUCGACUGCGUGAAGUCGGAAUCGCUAGUAAUCGCGGAUCAGCAUGUCGCGGUGAAUACGUUCCCGAAAGGUCUUGUACACACCGCCCGUCACACCAUGGGAGUGGGUUUACCAGAAGUAGUUAGCCUAACCGUAAAGGAGGGCGAUUACCACGGUAGGACUGACUGGGGUGAAGUCGUAACAAAGGUAA